UGAACGCUGGCGGCGUGCCUAAUACAUGCAAGUCGAGCGAACGGACGAGAAGCUUGCUUUUCUGAUGUUAGCGGCGGACGGGUGAGUAACACGUGGAUAACCUACCUAUAAGACUGGGAUAACUUCGGGAAACCGGAGCUAAUACCGGAUAAUAUUUUGAACCGCAUGGUUCAAAAGUGAAAGACGGUCUUGCUGUCACUUAUAGAUGGAUCCGCGCUGCAUUGGCUAGUUGGUAAGGUAACGGCUUACCAAGGCAACGAUGCAUAGCCGACCUGAGAGGGUGAUCGGCCACACUGGAACUGAGACACGGUCCAGACUCCUACGGGAGGCAGCAGUAGGGAAUCUUCCGCAAAGGGCGAAAGCCUGACGGAGCAACGCCGCGUGAGUGAUGAAGGUCUUCGGAUCGUAAAACUCUGUUAUUAGGGAAGAACAUAUGUGUAAGUAACUGUGCACAUCUUGACGGUACCUAAUCAGAAAGCCACGGCUAACUACGUG
rnacentral:rRNA from 1 species